AUUGAACGCUGGCGGCAGGCCUAACACAUGCAAGUCGAGCGGUAGCACAGAGAGCUUGCUCUCGGGUGACGAGCGGCGGACGGGUGAGUAAUGUCUGGGAAACUGCCUGAUGGAGGGGGAUAACUACUGGAAACGGUAGCUAAUACCGCAUAAUGUCGCAAGACCAAAGAGGGGGACCUUCGGGCCUCUUGCCAUCGGAUGUGCCCAGAUGGGAUUAGCUAGUAGGUGGGGUAAAGGCUCACCUAGGCGACGAUCCCUAGCUGGUCUGAGAGGAUGACCAGCCACACUGGAACUGAGGCACGGUCCAG
rnacentral:rRNA from 1 species